AGGACCUCAAGCUCAGACAGGGGACACCCACUCCUCCUUCCUCCCAGGGACAGGAGCCUCCCACUGAGCCCAGUGUCUACACCACCCUGGCCUUCCACUAGCCCAGGACACUACUUAGAUCCCACACUCAAGGUCAGGGACACAGGGACCUCAGCAGGCACAAGACAGCACACAGACAUUCAGCUGGGUGUCAUGGCCAUCCUGGGGCCUGCCAUGCAUGGCAAGGAGCAUCUCAGACCUGCUGGAUGUCACCUGAUUCCCGGUCAUAAAAGCUGCUACCAGACCAAGUGCCACGUUUGGCCAUUUUAUUCUCCUGGUCACCAACAGGCAAGGGGAGGAGUCACAAGGCAAGUGAGCAAAUGUGUGAUGGGAAAGUGCAUCCAGCUGAUGACGCACAGAAAUGAAGUGACUUUGAUCAAAG
rnacentral:lncRNA from 1 species